rnacentral:miRNA from 1 species
AUUUUUGAAUGGAAGGCCCAUGUG